UACGUAGGGUGCAAGCGUUAAUCGGAAUUACUGGGCGUAAAGCGUGCGCAGGCGGUUUUGUAAGUCUGUCGUGAAAUCCCCGGGCUCAACCUGGGAAUUGCGAUGGAGACUGCAAGGCUAGAAUCUGGCAGAGGGGGGGUAGAAUUCCACGUGUAGCAGUGAAAUGCGUAGAGAUGUGGAGGAACACCGAUGGCGAAGGCAGCCCCCUGGGUCAAGAUUGACGCUCAUGCACGAAAGCGUGGGGGAGCCAAACAAGGG
rnacentral:rRNA from 1 species